rnacentral:rRNA from 1 species
UAGGGAAUAUUCCACAAUGAGCGAAAGCUUGAUGGAGCGACACAGCGUGCACGAUGAAGGCCCUCGGGUUGUAAAGUGCUGUUGCAAGGGAAAAACAGUUAGUUGAGGAAAUGCUUCUAAUCUGACGGUACCUUGUUAGAAAGCGAUGGCUAACUAUGUGCCAGCAGCCGCGGUAAUACAUAGGUCGCAAGCGUUAUCCGGAAUUAUUGGGCGUAAAGCGUUCGUAGGCUGUUUAUUAAGUCUGGAGUCAAAUCCCAGGGCUCAACCCUGGCUCGCUUUGGAUACUGGUAAACUAGAGUUAGAUAGAGGUAAGCGGAAUUCCAUGUGGAGCGGUGAAAUGCGUAGAUAUAUGGAAGAACACCAAAGGCGAAGGCAGCUUACUGGGUCUAUACUGACGCUGAGGGACGAAAGCGUGGGGAGCAAACAGGAUUAGAUACCCUGGUAGUCCACGCUGUAAACGAUGAUCAUUAGUCGGUGGAAAACUACUGACGCAGCUAACGCAUUAAAUGAUCCGCCUGAGUAGUAUGCUCNAAAAGAGUG